rnacentral:rRNA from 1 species
AUUGAACGCUGGCGGCAUGCUUUACACAUGCAAGUCGAACGGCAGCGGGGACUUCGGUCCGCCGGCGAGUGGCGAACGGGUGAGUAAUGCAUCGGAACGUGCCUAUCAGUGGGGGAUAACGCUUCGAAAGGAGUGCUAAUACCGCAUAUUCUCUGAGGAGGAAAGCAGGGGACCUUCGGGCCUUGCGCCGAUAGAGCGGCCGAUGUCGGAUUAGCUAGUUGGUGAGGUAAAGGCUCACCAAGGCGACGAUCCGUAGCGGGUCUGAGAGGAUGAUCCGCCACACUGGGACUGAGACACGGCCCAGACUCCUACGGGAGGCAGCAGUGGGGAAUUUUGGACAAUGGGCGAAAGCCUGAUCCAGCCAUGCCGCGUGAGUGAAGAAGGCCUUCGGGUUGUAAAGCUCUUUUGUCCGGGAGGAAAUCCUGGCCUCUAAUACAGGUCGGGGAUGACAGCACUGGAAGAAUAAGCACCGGCUAACUACGUGCCAGCAGCCGCAGUAA